rnacentral:rRNA from 1 species
UUCAAAUUGAGAGUUUGAUCCUGGCUCAGGAUGAACGCUGGCGGCGUGCCUAAUACAUGCAAGUCGAACGCUUUGUGGUUCAACUGAUUUGAAGAGCUUGCUCAGAUAUG